AGUGAACGCUGGCGGUAGGCCUAACACAUGCAAGUCGAACGGCAGCACAGUAAGAGCUUGCUCUUACGGGUGGCGAGUGGCGGACGGGUGAGGAAUACAUCGGAAUCUACUUUUUCGUGGGGGAUAACGUAGGGAAACUUACGCUAAUACCGCAUACGACCUACGGGUGAAAGCAGGGGAUCUUCGGACCUUGCGCGAUUGAAUGAGCCGAUGUCGGAUUAGCUAGUUGGCGGGGUAAAGGCCCACCAAGGCGACGAUCCGUAGCUGGUCUGAGAGGAUGAUCAGCCACACUGGAACGGAGACACGGUCCAGACUCCUACGGGAGGCAGCAGUGGGGAAUAUUGGACAAAGGGCGCAAGCCUGAUCCAGCCAUACCGCGUGGGUGAAGAAGGCCUUCGGGUUGUAAAGCCCUUUUGUUGGGAAAGAAAAGCAGCAGGUUAAUACCCCGCUGUUCUGACGGUACCCAAAGAAUAAGCACCGGCUAACUUCGUG
rnacentral:rRNA from 1 species